rnacentral:rRNA from 1 species
GAUGAACGCUGACAGAAUGCUUAACACAUGCAAGUCGAUGGGGAAGUGGUGCUUGCACCAUGGCAACCAUGGCGGACGGGUGAGUAACGCGUAAGGGACUUACCUGCAGGACUGGGAUAACAGGGGGAAACUCCUGACAAGACCGGAUAAUGUCAUGGAGCUGCAUGGCUUUAGGAUGAAAGGAGACGCCUGCGGAGAGCCUUGCGUCCUAUUAGCUAGUUGGUGAGGUAAUGGCUCACCAAGGCGAAGAUAGGGAGCCGGCCUGAGAGGGUGGACGGCCACAAGGGGACUGAGAUACGGCCCUUACUCCUGCGGGAGGCAGCAGUGGGGAAUAUUGGACAAUGGGGGCAACCCUGAUCCAGCAAUUCUGUGUGCACGAAGAAGGUUUUCGGAUUGUAAAGUGCUUUCAGCAGGGAAGAAGUAAGUGACGGUACCUGCAGAAGAAGCGACGGCUACAUACGU